CGGUGCAUUAGCUAGUUGGUAAGGUAAAGGCUUACCAAGGCGAUGAUGCAUAGCCCGAGUUGAGAGACUGAUCGGGCCACAUUGGGGACUGAGACACGGGGCCCAAAACUCCUACGGGGGGAGGGGCAGCAGGUAGGGGGAAUCUUCCACAAUGGACGCAAGUCUGAUGGAGCAACGCCGCGUGAGUGAAGUAAGGUUUUCGGAUCGUAAAGCUCUUGUUGUUGGUGAAGAAGGAUAGAGGUAGUAACUGGUCCUUUAUUUGACGGUAAUCAACCAGAAAGUCACGGCUAACUACGUGCCAGCGCCGCGGUAAU
rnacentral:rRNA from 1 species